rnacentral:lncRNA from 1 species
UUGAGUAUUACUCGGCUCGUUCGAAUUAGGCUCAAAAAGCUCGAAAAGCUCGAAUAUAUAUAUAUAUAUAUAAUUGAGCUCCUAUGCUUUUAAAAGUACUAAGUUAUUGGUGUUUGUAGAUUUUUAACCAUUGGAUUAAGAGGUAUGCGGUUAGGAUGAUGUAGGCCCCCUAGGGUUGAGUGGGUGGUUGGUUGAAUAGUAUAAUCUAAUGGUUGAAAAUGAUCCGAGGAGUAGAUUUAACAGUAAAAAACUUACAAGCACCAAAUGCUUGGUACUUUUACAAGCACAAUAGCUGGACUCUAUACUAUAAUAUAUAUAUAUAUAUAUAUAUAUAUAUAUAGAACUACUAUGCUAUCGAAAGUAUAGAAGAUCUGGUGCUUUCGAUUUUUUGAUUCUUAGAUCAACCCCUUUAAUCAUUUCUUAUCUUUGGAUUAAUACUAUUAUUACCUUGUAGGAACCACUCAAUCCUAGAGGUAUUAUUUAAUCCUAGGGGGGACCGCAAUCAUCUCAACCAUAUAAUUUUGCAUAUAAUUCUUAAUCAAAAGGUCAAAAAUUCGAAAACAUCAAAUCCUCUAUAUUUUCGAUAGCAUAGUAGUUCUACACUAUAUAUAUAUAUAUAUUAAAAAAUAUAUAAAUAUAAUAUAUUUUAAUUAUAUAUAGGCUGAGUAAAUAAUCUCAGUUUAGUUAAAAUCGGGCAAAUGUUGUUGGCCCAUAAAAACAAAUCCAAUAGACAAAUAAAAGAGCAAAAUUUUACUAAAUUUAUACAUUUUUCCUUUCUUUCUUUCUUUCACAGAGCUCUAAAUUUUCAAUAUGUUUCUCUCUUUUUCUUUUUCUGUCUCUCACCCUAAGUAGCCAAGCCGGAAGCCCUCCAAGUUGCCAAGUAACAGCAUAUGCCCGCCAUUGCCUACCUUUCUAUUAAUUGUAUGCUUGAGAAAAUAUACAUAAUAUUUUUAAAAUAAAAAAUUAUUAUUUAUAUAAAAUUUUAAUUUUAGUUAUAUAUGAUUGGAUAGUUUAAUCCAAUAUUUAUCUAUAUAAUUUAUUUAUUUUUGACCGCAUAAAUGAAAAUGAAUAAUAUGGAGAUUGAAGGUGGAAGAUAAGACAUGUGAGGCUGAAAAGAUUAGAUAUUCAAGUCAUAAAUUAUUUUUCUUCAUAUUAUAAUACUAUAUUUCAUAUAAUUAUUUUGUACUUUGAACUAUUAGACAUAUUUUUGUAUCAAAUUAUAGAUAAUAUUCUAUACAAAUUAAACUAUUGAUCGUAUGAUGUUGAGAAUUUCAAGCGGCUCGUUUAGGGCUCGAGCUCGCUCGACUCGAAAUUAGGCUCGCUUGAGCUCGGCUCGAAUUAAUUUCAAUCCAAGCUUGAGCUUACAUUUCGGCUCGAAAUUAAUUUCAAGCCGAAUUUGAGCCAAGAUAAGCUCGCUCGAGCUUGG